UGGGGAAUNUUGNCCAAUGGGCGGAAGCCUGAUGCAGCAACNCCGCNNGAGGGAUGACGGCCUUCGGGUUGUAAACCNNUUUUAGCAGGGAAGAAGCGAAAGUGACGGUACCUGCAGAAAAAGCGCCGGCUAACUACGUGCCAGCAGCCGCGGUAAUACGUAGGGCGCAAGCGUUAUCCGGAAUUAUUGGGCGUAAAGAGCUCGUAGGCGGUUUGUCGCGUCUGCUGUGAAAUCCCGAGGCUCAACCUCGGGCCUGCAGUGGGUACGGGCAGACUAGAGUGCGGUAGGGGAGAUUGGAAUUCCUGGUGUAGCGGUGGAAUGCGCAGAUAUCAGGAGGAACACCGAUGGCGAAGGCAGAUCUCUGGGCCGUAACUGACGCUGAGGAGCGAAAGGGUGGGGAGCAAACAGGCUUAGAUACCCUGGUAGUCCACCCCGUAAACGUUGGGAACUAGUUGUGGGGUCCAUUCCACGGAUUCCGUGACGCAGCUAACGCAUUAAGUUCCCCGCCUGGGGAGUACGGCCGCAAGGCUAAAACUCAAAGGAAUUGACGGGGACCCGCACAAGCGGCGGAGCAUGCGGAUUAAUUCGAUGCAACGCGAAGAACCUUACCAAGGCUUGACAUAUACGAGAACGGGCCAGAAAUGGUCAACUCUUUGGACACUCGUAAACAGGUGGUGCAUGGUUGUCGUCAGCUCGUGUCGUGAGAUGUUGGGUUAAGUCCCGCAACGAGCGCAACCCUCGUUCUAUGUUGCCAGCACGUAAUGGUGGGAACUCAUGGGAUACUGCCGGGGUCAACUCGGAGGAAGGUGGGGAUGACGUCAAAUCAUCAUGCCCCUUAUGUCUUGGGCUUCACGCAUGCUACAAUGGCCGGUACAAUGGGCAGCAAUACCGUGAGGUGGAGCGAAUCCCAAAAAGCCGGUCCCAGUUCGGAUUGAGGUCUGCAACUCGACCUCAUGAAGUCGGAGUCGCUAGUAAUCGCAGAUCAGCAACGCUGCGGUGAAUACGUUCCCGGGUCUUGUACACACCGCCCGUCAAGUCAUGAAAGUCGGUAACACCUGAAGCCGGUGGCCUAACCCCUUGUGGGAGGGAGCUGUCGAAGGUNGGAUCGGUAAUUAGGACUAAGUC
rnacentral:rRNA from 1 species